UAAAAGACGUAAGCCGAGAGCCACACUAUGAAAGUCGUAAGCCGAGAGCCAGACUGAGAGUCAUAAGCUAGGGUAAGCUUGGUGCUACCUCUUUAUUUUUUUUUAUUAUUUGCUUAUGAAGAAUUGUGAUUGAGGGAAGUAUUGUUGAAUUGAUAAUCAUAGAAUAGAUUAUAGGUUAAAUUAAGAUAGAAGUAGUAAGCCUUGAUGUUUUGUAGUUUGAUAAUUGAUUUCAAAUAGUGAGAGUACAGUCAAUUGUGACACUAACAGACCUAAUUCAUAUAACCAGUCUUUCUUCAUGUUCAAACCCACUUCUAUUAAUUCAAUUGCUUUGGUCUAUUGAAGCUUGAAUGCAACGAGAA
rnacentral:lncRNA from 1 species